UCUACAAUGCCAAUGCUAGCUUGCAUGUAAACAGGAACAAGUAGUGAUUCAGUUUCUGCUUUUAUUUCAUUCAUGUCCUAUAGUGCUAUAGCUAAUAUAGAUAUUGAAAGAUAUUUUUUUAUUUAAAAAAUGUAGUGUGUUGCCGAUGUUUGUUACUGUUGAGUUAGGUUGUUACAUCUGUAGAGGAAUUGUAUGUUGCUUUUCAGCUUAAUAUACUACCUUUACUUAUGACCAAUAAGAUGUGAUAUUCUAUAUAAAUAUAGGAUGUCAACCUGAUUGAUCUUUGGAUGUUUAAUCAGAAGAAUUAGGAUUCUUUGCUUUUUCAGUGAUCAUGGUCCACUUCGUAUUAAUUCAGACAGAGUCAAGGGUAUAAUUAAAAAUACACUUUAUUUUCUAUACUAAUUAUAUGCAUGACAAGCUAUAAACAAGUUUAUGUGAUGGAUGAUUAUAAGUGAAUGGAAUGUGAUGUAUGAUGAUGGAAUGGUGUGGGAUGUUUACUAGAGCCUUUGUAUCUGAAAGGAAUUAUGAAAUCUGGGUGUAAGAAUUUGCGGUUGUUAUAAUCUGAAGAAUUGAUUUAUCAAAAUGGCAUCAGACACAAUUCAUGCUGUGCCUACAUACCCGUAUUCUGGAGACCCCCGUUUGGAUGCGAGAUGACAAGGAGUCGGUGACCCCACUCCACGUGGCUCGUAGGAAAACCUUGAUGUGACCAAGUCAGUCCUGGGAUGCCUCCGGGUCACAACGAUUGAGGAAAAUUUUUGCGUCUAGAACAGCUGUUUCUGAAUAGCUGAAGGAGCAAGUUUCUGUGUCAGUGCAGGCAGCUUUUACGGCUUGUCGAAAGCUGAUAGUUCAAAUUCCCUUUAGGAUUGGCCACUCCGAAGGUGUACUAGAACUCGAACUGAGCUUGAACUGACUCACGCAGGAAGUGAGUUCUGUUUUAAUAAUACUUAUAUUAUGAUUACAUGGCCAAUCAGGAUGUGCCAUGUUAAGAGGUGUUAUCAAACAACCCUCAGAACAUCACGCCUUCUUUCAUAUAGAAGGUGCUCUGAUUUGUAGAUAAGGAAAUCUCUAUGUGCAUGCAAUUACUUUAACUUUCCAUCAUGGAGAUAUGCACAUGUGUAUGAGGGGAUGGCUGAUUAGCUUGUCACGUAGACUGAAUAUCAGACAAAUGGAUUAUUGAAGGACAAUAUUCAUUUCAACCUUAUUAACUUAGGCACAGAAUACUCAAAACAUUUCAUUUAACACAUUGUCCAUUCACUGUAUGAUUAAUUAACUCAUAUGAGCUGAAAAUGUUCACUUUUAGUCAGAGGUAGGAAGAAUCCUGUAGAAGUGAUAAGAGGAAAACUUAAGGCCUUGAAACAGGAACAGCUUGUUGACAAUAUGUUAUCCUGUGUGCACAGCUGCAGAGGCCUGGACUUCAGCUGAUAGAAUAGCAGAAUCCAGCAGAUAGUUUGACCUGUUCUUGCCGAUGAUGGUCAAAUAUAUAGAUGAAAAACUGACCAUUUCUGGACGCUACACAUCCUACAUCCACAUAUCUUGUGGUUAAAAUGCAAAGAAGAUUUUAUUUUAUUUUUGAGGGCUUUUAAUAAUUGUAUCACAUGUAGUCAAUGCAACAAAAAUCUUCUGAAUUUCUAAAUUACGACAUACUCCUCAUAAGACGGGCUUCAAAAUUAGGACACAGUUCUCAUUUUUUUGUGAGAGGUGAAAAUUAGCUGAGUGACAUAACACAAAAUGGAGUAAAAAACAAAGAAAAGAAUAAACGUUCUACAUGUUUGUCAUGAUAAAGUCGAGAAAUUAUAAAAAAAAAUAAAAACAAAUUUUAUCUGAUAUUUAGAUAAUAUACCAAGAUCAGCAGCACACAGCAUGGACUAGCUGCUCCUCAUCCUCUUCUACACACCUAAACAAUUAGCAGUGCCUCUUGGCCUCCAGCUUGACUCAUAGAGAGGAGAAGCACAGAGGCAGCUGAUAGCUCCUCGACUCUUCCGUCACAGGAGUGUUAGGUAAUGAAUCCUGCCUGCCACGGUGGACCUUAAUUUGUUAUUGUAGCAGAGCAGCUGUGCGGCAUGCUGCAGAUAGCAGGUGGCUGCCUGGCAGGAGUGGAGGACGGGGAGGUGGAGGAGGGAGAGGAUGAGAAUGGGAAAGGAGGAGGGGCAGGACAGGAGCAUGUGGCAUAUGUGGGUGGCUGUAGGAGGGGAGGAUGGAGAGAUGGCUCUGUGCGUGUGUGUGUGUGCGCGCACGUGUGUUGCAGCUUCUUUGCCAGCAUCCAAAUAUUAUGCUUGUAAGGGCGAAAAACACUUGAGACUCUGGAUGGAGUCCAGAUCCAGCCCGACUGUGUGGGCUUUGGGGUUCUGGCUAACCGUCACACUCAACAGAUGACACGCCGUUUCUGUUUUAAUCCAAAUCAUUCAAUAGUUAAACCUUUAAAACGUCAAGACGGUCAGAGAUGUUUCCUCUUUCAAUAUAAAAUCCAUCCAUUUCAUCCCCUCGACAAUUUGUGGAGGAAUUUCAGGUUUACAACUUAACAAAAAAAUCGAUACAUCAACAAGUUCAGAUCAUGAACCACUUUGCUCUGGGCAGUCUGAUGUGAGGAUUAAAGGGCUGAGCUGCUGCCCCAUCAUUUCCUUUGGAGUAAAUCAUUACUGCCCCGCUGGAAAACAGCGUUAUCGGUGAGUACCACCAGCUCAAACAGUACCUUUUGUGUUUGAGGAGAGACUUGAUGCCCGGUGGUGAAUUGGAUUGACUGCCCCCUGCAGAUUGUGUCUUAACAAGUUAUUUUAUGUUUGGGUGGCGUUUUAUUGCUGGGAAGCCCUGCAAAGAGAACCGAGUGGGAGGAGGAAGAACUCCAGAAGAAAAUCCCACCAGUAAACACGAGCAUGGUCGGAAUGCUGACCACCAUUACCACUGAGGAUUUGAAGCCCUUAAUCCACCAGGCUACGUUUUUUUUUUUUUUUCGUUCCACCAUCUGGAGUUUACAGCCUUUCAAGACAAAAACACCAGGCAGUGUGAAACCAGGCUGGAGCUGCAGCUUGAUGCCAGGGGGAUUUUUUUAUUCCUCUUUGCCUGCUUUGCAUCAGAGGUCAAUAGUACAGUACCACCAUACAAGUAGGGUCAGUGGGGCCUGGAGGCUUUAUGGUGGUGUGACUGGAUCCCACAGUAAUGUUUGCUAAGUAUAGUUGUGAUGAAGGAAAAAAAUGCGUGUAAAAACUGGAUUUAUGGAGUCCACAUGUGAAAACCACAGCUUGGAUAAUUGAAUUUGAUUAAACGAGAUUUGAAACAGUGGCAGUGGGGUCAGCGAGGGCUGAUGCUGGAACGAAGCCUCCCUGACUUGUCAGAAAACUCCACCUGAAUCCUUUAUAAUCACCACCUAACCAAUAAUAACUUUAUUUAUCCAUGACUGUGAUACUUACAGGGGUGUUGGGAUGAUUAUGGUGAUGAUGAAGCUCCAACAUCCAGCAGAGAGCAGCAGAGUGUGCACCGCUUUGCAAGCCAUGUUUCCCGUUUUUACACAAAUUAACUCCAACUCCAAAUAAAACAAAAGAAUAAAUAUAUUUAUUAUUCUCUUAAUUGUAUUUAUUUGAAGUUGAUUGUUGCAGAAAGCUUAAAUGGCCUGCUGGGAAGUGUGAAUGCUCUUUCCUCACGUGGAGAAAAUUUGUUAAAGGGCUCGUAGUCUCAACAUUGCAACACUAGUCAAUCAUUUCCAUUCCUUCUUGAUUCAAUUAGCUCUACUUGAAAACACGUGGAGCAUUUGGAAUCCCUGAUCAUUUUUCCCUUUGCCUCCUCUUCUCUAUUCUUUGGGGUGGUAAUCGACUCAGAUUCCAAUCCUCUGACAUUAAAAGGGGAAAUAAACGACUAAAGGGGCCCUGCAGGUUUGCAUUAGAGUCUUAAUUGGUUUUGGCUUGAGCGAGCCGCUAACGUUGCCAGACGUGGGCCCUUUGUGUUUUGCCAUGUGGGAGAGUUUCCUUCUCGAGGUGCUUUCGGAUCCAUUCUGAAUCAUCCCCAACAUGUUUGCAAGGAGGAGUGUGAGUCCACGUGAAUGUGUGUGCAAAUCUGUUGAAUUAAGAGCUCGACUUUACAUAUUGCUGUAAGUGUCAUGCAUGAGUUUGGCUGUGUUUUUUUAAAUGUGAGCCUUUGGCUGUGUGUUUGUGCAUGUCAGGCUGGGAGCCCAAUAUCCUUCUCACUCCCUCUGGUCUUUGCGUGGGUCUUUUCCACCAGCAACCACCACCUGUUAGUGUUUUACUCAGGCCCCGAGGCUACAAUGACUGCACAACCUUCCAGAUUUGCUCAUCAAGCUCAUCAGAUUUGCUCCUUUACCUUAAAAAAAUUGGCUCCUUUUUCCUGUCGCAAGACCAAUCUCUGAUGAAUUCCUCCUGCCGUUUAGCUGAGUGCAGCUGAAGAAGUCCAAGCUAAGCUGUGUUUCAUUAAUGACUCAUGGGUGACAAAGUUUUAUUUGGUGAGCUGCUCUGCAGGAGCCCACUUAUGUGUUUUGCAAGGUAGUGGUAAAAGAGAAGUUUUAUUUAUUUUUAUUUAUUGAAUCGCUCUGUUGCCUAUAGGUGCAAGUGCAUCCGCCACAACAAAGAGUCUCGCUUCACCUCUGUGAGUAGUAAAAUUUGACCAAAUAUAAAGAUAAAUUGCACGUGCCGUAUCAAAUGAUAACGAGCCUGAGCAGUGAAAACACAUUUUUAAGGAUUUUGAACAGCUUCUUUGACAAUGCAUUUGUUAUAGGCUAAUAUAACAGUGAUGAAGACAAUAUAGGAGGGAGAGCAAUGACUUCCAGAGUGUUCCUUUCUAUAUCCAGAUCUCAUCUGAUAAAUAGACAUGAAUACGUAGACUCCCCAUUGGGCACUAGAAAGUGUAACAGCAUCGCCGUCAUAUUGGGUGGGUUCCUCACUCUCCAAAACCAACUGGAGUCAAUGCAGAGUGGACAACUAUGCUCGUUUUUGUGCAGCGUACAGUUGCAAAAACGGGCAUCUUAUUGAAAACAGAUCACAACAGCUUUAUUGUACAGCACAUUUGAUUCACAGAAGAAAUUCAAUGUGCUUUCCAUCAGCGAGAAUAGCCCGAACACUAAAAUAAAGUGACAGCACAAUUAAAAUACACAAAUACAUUUUGAUACAAAUAUUAAUUUCAGAUUUAAGAAUCAGAAAAAAAGACUAAGUUAAAGGGUAAGAAGUUACAGUGCGGUAGGUAGAGCAUAAGAAAAGAUUCAAAGGCUGAUAAAUACAUGAAGACAGCACCUUCCUCAGUAGAAAUAAAUGCGCUGGAGGCAAAUGGAGACCCAUCCAAGAUGGCGACCGGCUGCUAUGCCAGCAUCAAUUGGCAGCAGCAGUCCACGGGGCAUGUGCACCUAGUUGCAUCUUCGACUGUAAUGCAUGCAGGGAUGCUGGUCACUGUGCAACUAACCUUUAUUAACAACUUUCAAAUGAACAACCAAACAAUUAUUUGAAAUAAAUUUACAUUCAUUGCUGCUUGCUCUAAAACAUUCAGAGCAUCAACUAAUCAUCCUAAAAUGAACUACUUUCAUUUGAAAAUACAUAUUUUUCUCCCACAACAAUAGAUUGUGGUUAAUACUCUUCGCCCAAGUCCACAUCGAUGCAGACUUUGAGUGCGGAUCAAGGGUGCAAACGAAGCACCCUACCCCUACACACUCGCACCCCUGGCCGGGAUUGUGCAAUGGAAGAGCACAAGUUUGGAAAUGCGGGUAUUGGGAUUGGGCCGAUGUCUGUGGUCUGAAGAGAAAAGUCCACCGAAAAAAAGGCCCGGCGCAACACCUCCUGGAACAAAAGUUUCACCUGACAUUACAUUCAGUUCAUUACCCUAUGAUGCAUAAUCACACUUUCAAAUACAAAAUCAUUUCAUGAAGAAAAUGAAAUAAAUCCAUUCAACGUGGUGACAUAUUUUUAGAUGUACCACACAUUUGACAGGAAAUUUAAAUGCACUUAUCCAAUCACUGCAGUCUAUUAUAUGAUCCACUUUCUGCAGAAUCCUAAACAGCAUCAUCAGUCUAUUAUCCUGACAGGGUCUGUCAUGUUGCACGUUUCGUAAGACUUUCUGUCUAAGGAGCCUGUUUCCAAUUUAGCAUACCGUGUUUCCCUAUCUUUCAUGUCAGACGCUGUGGAAACCUGAAACAAAGGGAAAUGGGGGGAUGAGUGAGCAGUUAAAGGAAUCGAACAGUGAGAGAAUGAGAGUGGAAGGGGAUUAACUGUCAGGGAAAAUGUGAUGCUAAUUGAAGCCAGUCCUGAACAGCUGUUUCUUGUUGUUGUGCGGCACUGCGCAGAGCGGCUGGGUGGAUGAGAUCCAGAUGUGAUCCUACACAGAGAAUCGCCUGACUGCAGACCUCAGAAACAGCAGUCAUCCAGGAGACGGGCGAUACUCAACAAAAAUGUCACUCCUCUUGCCUCCUCAACAACAGCCCAGCUGUGUUUUUUCUCCUGAAGAGUUGUUAACACUGUCAUUUUGUUAUCCUGCAGCUGCCACCAAGACCUCGGCAUUCAGGUGUCACACAGUGGCGUAAACAUUGCUUUGACACAUUUGACUAUUCCAAAAAGGCGGCCUGCGGGAUUUUGGAGUGGUUUUGCAUAUUUGUUAUGUAGCUUUUGAAGCAUUCAGUCAAGAGGAAUUAAUACUUCUUUUGUGUAUUUAUCUGUUAAAAGUGUUUUAUUUAGAUCAAUUGUGCAGCGAGAAAAAAAGAGCAUGUAUCCUUUGUGGGGCCGUUCGGAGGCGGGUCUGAAGGCUGUGUGCAGGCAUUUGUUGGCUAAUAAAAUUUAAGUGAACAUUUUAAAAAUAAAAGAACUUGUGAAAGAAACUUAUCGCCACAGUGUGCUUUUUGAACACCCGUCCCUCUAUUUUCUUUUCUCAUGCCUUUCACUCCUUACCCCCGUCCCCCACUUGGCCCAGACAAAGAGGAGUUAGCAAUGGUUACCCUUUUCUCCACGCCUUCCAGGGUUACAGCAGUGCUUCUUUCUCACCUCCUGUUUCGGUCUCAAGUUUCUGUCUCCCCGUAACCAUUUUUUCCCCUCUUUGUUUCAAUAUUCCCACCCCCAAUGUUUGUGUUCCUAGUCCUUGUUUGCCUCAUUUUAUUUGCCCCUUUUCCCUUUCCCACCCCUGCACAUCUGUCUUGGCCGCCAUGCUUGAGUCCGACUGCAGCUGGCCUGUCAUGGAGCAGAGGAAAGCUGACUCCCAGCUGUGUGUGAGUUAUUAUUGAAGACUGGUGAGAAGUCUCAGAGCUGUGUCAGACGAGAUGUAGCCAAUGUGAGACCUUUUAAAAAAAUUGCAUCUUUCUCGUACUUCAGUUCUUUCUUUUGCUAGAUUCUUAAAGUGGCAGUGUGUAGAUUCCUGGCGCUAGGGGGCAGUACAUACUUUUCAGAGUAGUUUCACACCAUAUCGCCCGUAUUGUCGCUAGUUCAAAAAAAACAUUACGGUAAAUGUUGUUACCUGUGGAGCAGAAAGCAUGCAAGAGAAAAAAUGCAAUGCCGAUGCAAGUUUUCUGGUGCUGUUGUUUCUGGAUCUGCUUGGGGUCCUGCGCCUGCAGGUGACAUCAAACUACGGCAACACCACUCGACCAAAAUGUAUUGCAUCUCUUUCGAUCCUGUUCAUUCACAAGAAUUUUGCAGUUUUGUUCUUGAACUCACGUUUCUUACCGCCUAAAUGUUUUCUUCAUAACUGUAAUUUGUUAACAUCCUUAGUUUUUUUAAAGAAUGUGAAACUACAUAAAACCAACAUCAGCACAGCAGUUCUUAUUUGUGAACAUUUUAGAUGUAUUUACAGAGUAGUCUUUUCUGUUUGUAUAAAUGUGAAAUUCUUCUGUACAUUUUGUAAGUUCUUAUGUAAAUAAAACUAUUUGUUUAUUCAAA